rnacentral:rRNA from 1 species
UACGUAGGGUGCAAGCGUUGUCCGGAAUUAUUGGGCGUAAAGAGCUCGUAGGCGGUCUGUCGCGUCGGCUGUGAAAACCCGGGGCUCAACCCCGGGCCUGCAGUCGAUACGGGCAGACUAGAGUGUGGUAGGGGAGACUGGAAUUCCCGGUGUAGCGGUGAAAUGCGCAGAUAUCGGGAGGAACACCAGUAGCGAAGGCGGCACUCUGGGCCGGUACUGGCGCUGAGGAGCGAAAGCGUGGGGAGCAAACAGG